AAGGAAAGGCGGCCCUGGAGCGCCUAGCGGAGAGCAAAGAAAGGUCGAUGAUGGAAAUCGACCGCGUGGUGGUGCUAAUACCCUCAGGAUGCGAGGCUGUCGAGGCUGUCUCCUACCAGACAGAAACCGAGGUCCAAGGAAGAGGAGGGGAGAGUUUCGGAGCCAAAUGGUUAUCCUCCAACUAGACUUUACACCCGAUGUUCACUUAGUCUCCCUAGGACAUGUUGUUUCCUUUGCUUCCAGGAACUUUGUCAAGGGCACCAAAGAGGGUCAGUAUCACCAUGCAGCAGUGAAGUGAAAAACUAGACCCAAGGUUUCUUUGGAAGAGAGAUCAAAAAAAUCCCUUAUAGCCAAAACCAAACCCACCCUCCUGGCUCUCCCUCCUCUGUGCUUUCCUUAAGACCCCCCCCCCUACACCUAUUUCCAUCCCCACGCCCCCUUUCUACCUAAGGUUCCUGGAAACCAAGGGAGCAGAAAACACUGUUCCCCCGGUGGGCAUACAGCUUCAGAGGACAAAGCUUUCAGGCCGCCUGCUUCAUUAGUGUUAAUGGCUGCUCCCUUCCGCCCUGUGUUGUCAGGUCUCUGCCUACGCCUGGCCUCAUCAGCUUGACAGAGUAAGGACUGCACAUUUGUGGGUGUAACAGGACCCAUGGGACUUUUUUUUUUUUUUUUUUUUUUGACAGAAUCUUACUAUGUAAGGCCAGGCUGGCCUCCAAUUUACAGAAAUUCACCUAUCUCUACCUCCUAAGUGCUGGGAUUAAAGGCAUUUGCCAUGACA
rnacentral:lncRNA from 1 species